rnacentral:sRNA from 1 species
CGAAAAACCGGCGCUGAAAAACGCCGGUCACGACAACCAACAGCCAUGUGUCGCCGGACAGGUUCGGCGCAGGCGACGCAUGUGCGUCUGAAGAAAUACCUGAGGCAGUGGUAAAAAGUUGCAAAACCUGCAAUUGAUGUGGAGCGAUUCUAGCGGGGUUUAAUGAUCCGUCAACGCUAUAGAUAGCCGUUUAAAUUAACGAAAGUAA